AUCAUAUCAAAUAGAAAAAAUAUUUUUUCGAUUUAUAAAAUUUAUUUAUAUGUUUGCACCAAUUUAAUUAUAUAAGUAGUAGAUAAUGACUUUUUAAUCAUUCAAUAUAUAUUUAUUAUUUCAUAAUAUGUUAUAAACAUAUAAUAUAUAAAAUAAUUUAUAUAUAUAAUGUUUAUUCCGUGCAAGGCGCGGGUCUUAACCUAGUAGAAAGAGUAUAAUCGGCUCACUUUAGAUGUAAAUGUUAGAUUUUUUAUUAUGUCAAAAUCAUUAUCAUCUAUUUAAUUUCAAAUCCAAAUUUGGUAAGAUGGCAAAUAAACCCUAUAUUUUAGACUAAAAAAAAAUCACAUGGGAGAAAAUGAGCAUUUAGUUCUCCAAGAUUAGUUGACAAAAAAAAAUCUUCAAGAUUCUGAAAUCUGCAAGUUUAUUUUUCAACUAUUGUUUAAGCACACAAUAAUACCUCAAGUUAUAGUUAUUAUUGGAGUAUGAUUCAAUUAUUGUUAAUUUGUUAUAGUUGACUAUGAUAAACUGUGAUUAGAAGUUUUUUAAAAUAUUUCAUGGAAUAGUUAGUUUAUUUUCAAAACAUGAUCGCAAUUUUAUAGUUAAAUCUAAGAUGAGCAUUUUUUUCCCAAGAUUUGGAAAUCUACAAGUUUAUUUUUCAACUAUUGUUUACGCACAAUUAUACCUCAAGUUAAAGUUAUAAUGGACUAUGAAAAACUAUGAUUAGAAGUUUUUUGAAUGUUUAAUGGAAUUGUUAGUUUAUUUUUAAGUGUGAUCACAAUUUUAAAGUUAAAUCUAGAAAUCGAAAAAUAAGAAUUUAAUUCUUCACUAUUUGCUAUCGACAUAUUUAUUCCCCAAUAAUCAUUAUGCAGAAUUUUUUGUUUGUCACGGAAACGAUUAUAUCUAAUCUAUUAAAACAGGAGUACAAAAUUAAACUAACCCUGAGUUUUCAAUGUUAAUUACUUUUGAAUGCCACUGAAACUAUUAUUACUCUUUCCUUAAAAUUAGCUUGUCUUUUCCGAUCAUUUAAUGCAUAUUUCCUCAUUUUAAUUUAUGCAUUAAAAACGGAAACAACUUCAAACGUUAAACAUAUGUGAAUUAACUUAAUUACAUGAAAAAUCUCAGGCAAAUAUAAAUAUAUCUUACCACUGUAACGAAAAAAAAUUUCUUCUUCUCCUACAAUGAGAUGAAUCGAAUUACUUCAAAAGUAAAUCAAUGGAUUAUAACUUUAGUUUAAUCUGCAGUUUUCUUCUUGACGUAGAACUUGAUAUUCCUGUUUAGAUAGCGAUGGAUUAUAACUUUAGUUUUUUUUUGAAAAAACUAAAAUCAUUAAUCCAAUUAUUCUUUCAUACAUAAAUCUAAUUAAUAAUACAUAUAAAAAGAAGUCACGUUAGUCAAAGCAGCAUACAUAUUAUUAAUAAAAUAGAUAAAAGGAAGUUAUUUAAUAGAGAUUUUACAUGACUUAUAAAAUAUAAAUCAGCUAUACCAAUCGAUGAUCUAAUCUUUCUGAACUAAUCAAAUCAAUCAAUUCAAAAUCUAAACAGAAUAUCUUUGCAUUUGUUGAAAAAAAAAAAUCUUUACCGAUAAUAAUUAAGUUCUAACCUAUAAUCACUCUCAAAUAUUUAAUUUACCUAUAAAAUAUAGAAAUUGUAUCCUAUAAUUUCGUUAACUUCUACAUUUUGGUGAAUAAUAAAUUAUCAUUAAAAAAUUUCCCUAUCAAUUUUUCUUUGCUAACUUGCGGAAGAGUUCAACAUUAAUUAAAUUAUUUGUAAAUAUUUCAACUGCAAACAAUUGAAUAUAUUUGCGUAUAGUAGGAGAUAUUUUGGUAACAAUUUAAUUGUUGCAAAUCAAGGGAUUUUAUCGUGUAAAGUGUUUAGGUAUAUUUUCUUCGUUAGGGUUUUACAAUCACGUUAUAUAUACAUAUAUAUACUGUACCUUGCAUAUAUAUAUUCAACAUCACCUCAAUAGCUCCUAAACAAUUUUUUUAGUUCGCUUCUUAGAGGUUAUAAUGUCAACAAACAAGAGUUUUACAUUGUUAAACUACUUGAAGCCAAGGUUGAGUAAAUGGUGUGUGCAGGUGAAGCUGAUUUAAUCAAGAAAACAAACCCCUCCCUAUGCUGAUGAAACAGUCGAAAUGGUUUUGGCUGAUAAGACUGUCAUAAAAUCCAUGCAUCAUGCAACAGAUCACACAUGUUUCGGAUCCAGCGAGACCUUAUGAUAGGAAAGUGGCGUGUGAUUGAAAACUUUAAGGUAUCCGGUGUGGGUAAAGGAAAAUACUCACCAUGCUAACUAUUAAAUAGAAUGUUUUAUACCUUUCAAAAUUUAAGGAUAUUUUAUUUAUAGUUUGUAUCAUGCUAACUAUUAGUUAUUUAUUUGAUCAUAAUUCCAAAUUCAACUUUAUGUUUCCUAUGUAUACUAUACGUACCUUAAAUUAUAUGUACACCGUCUGUUUUUUU